rnacentral:rRNA from 1 species
GACGAACGCUGGCGGCAGGCCUAACACAUGCAAGUCGAACGGUAACAGGAAGCAGCUUGCUGCUUCGCUGACGAGUGGCGGACGGGCGAGUAAUGUCUGGGAAACUGCCCGAUGGAGGGGGAUAACUACUGGAAACGGUAGCUAAUACCGCAUAACGUCGCAAGACCAAAGAGGGGGACCUUCGGGCCUCUUGCCAUCGGAUGUGCCCAGAUGGGAUUAGCUUGUUGGUGAGGUAACGGCUCACCAAGGCGACGAUCCCUAGCUGUCUGAGAGGAUGACCAGCCACACUGGAACUGAGACACGGUCCAGACUCCUACGGGAGGCAGCAGUGGGGGAUAUUGCACAAUGGGCGCAAGCCUGAUGCAGCCAUGCCGCGUGUAUGAAGAAGGCCUUCGGGUUGUAAAGUACUUUCAGCGGGGAGGAAGGCGUUGUGGUUAAUAACCGCAGCAAUUGACGUUACCCGCAGAAGAAGCACCGGCUAACUCCGUGCCAGCAGCCGCGGUAA